GACAGAGGGUGCAACCGUUGCUCGGAAUCACUGGGCGUAAAGGGCGUGUAGGCGGAUCUGUAAGUCGGGCGUGAAAUCCCUGGGCUCAACCCAGGAACUGCACUCGAAACUGCGGGUCUUGAGUGCCGGAGAGGAAAGCGGAAUACCUGGUGUAGAGGUGAAAUUCGUAGAUAUCAGGUGGAACACCAGUGGCGAAGGCGGCUUUCUGGACGGUAACUGACGCUGAGACGCGAAAGCGUGGGGAGCAAACAGG
rnacentral:rRNA from 1 species